rnacentral:misc_RNA from 3 species
AAUCUCCCACCCCAAGCGGUUUUUAAAUGAAACGGCUUGGCGGAUGGGGUCUGGAUGGGUGCCUCUGCCUGCGCUACCUAGCACAGGCUCGCCCGAAAUGCAUGAGCGCCUUGAGACACUUUGCAUCCGCCUCUCUGUUUGGGAGGAGGCGGCCAAGCAGUGUUUUUCUCCUGGCAUGGCAUGAUACGUCAUUUGCUAUGUCGCCUAAAGGAGGAAUGUUUGGUUGUGUCUGCGUGUGCUUCGAACUUGCCUCUGUGGCACAUCCCAAUUUCAC